GUACACGCUGUGACUAGCAUAUCAAUAAGCGGAGGAAAAGAAACUAACAAGGAUUCCCCUAGUAACGGCGAGUGAAGCGGGAAGAGCUCAAAUUUGAAAUCUUAAAGGGUUUCCCUUUACGAAUUGUAGUUUAAAGAAGUGUUUUCUGUUGAGGUUUUGGUAAAAGUUCUUUGGAAUAGGACAUCAUAGAGGGUGAGAAUCCCGUAUUUGACCUUUACUUUCAACUUUGUGAUACACUUUCAAAGAGUCGGAUUGUUUGGGAAUGCAGUCCAAAAUGGGUGGUAAAUUUCAUCUAAAGCUAAAUAUUGGCGAGAGACCGAUAGCGAACAAGUACCGUGAGGGAAAGAUGAAAAGAACUUUGAAAAGAGAGUUAAACAGUACGUGAAAUUGUCAAAAGGGAAGCGUUUGACACCAGUGUUGUUUUUCUGAAAAUCAAUUAAAGAACUGUCUAUGCUAAGUUGUUUAGACUUUAUCAGCUAACUGUUUAGUUUUGAGCUUUUCUUUAAUGCACUUUUCAGUUAACAAGUCAACAUCAAUUUCUUUUGCUGUAAAAAAGCUUGAGGAAGGUGGCUUGAGAUUCGUCUUAAGUGUUUAUAGCCUCUUGCCUAUGCAGUCGGAGAGAUUGAGGUCUGCAGCGUAGAUCCUUCGGGGCUAAAUGCAUUUGUGCUAAGUUAUAGCAUUUUAUAGACAACUUGUUGACUAUGAUUUGUCUUGUAGCUUACUCGCCUAUGUUAUUUUACCUACGCUUAGGAUGUUGAGUCGUAGAGCACGCAG
rnacentral:rRNA from 1 species